rnacentral:rRNA from 1 species
GACGUAGGAUGCAAGCGUUGUCCGGAUUUAUUGGGCGUAAAGAGUUCGUAGGCGGUUCGUUAAGUCUGGUGUUAAAGAUCGGGGCUCAACCCCGGGAGUGCACUGGAUACUGGCGGACUCGAGUGUGGUAGAGGCAAGUGGAAUUCCCAGUGUAGCGGUGAAAUGCGUAGAUAUUGGGAAGAACACCGGUGGCGCAAGCGACUUGCUGGGCCAUUACUGACGCUGAGGAACGAAAGCUAGGGGAGCGAAUGGG